GGUCAAGUGAAGAAGCGCAUACGGUGGAUGCCUUGGCAGUCAGAGGCGAUGAAAGACGUGGUAGCCUGCGAAAAGCUUCGGGGAGUCGGCAAACAGACUUUGAUCCGGAGAUCUCUGAAUGGGGGAACCCACCUAGGAUAACCUAGGUAUCUUGUACUGAAUCCAUAGGUGCAAGAGGCGAACCAGGGGAACUGAAACAUCUAAGUACCCUGAGGAAAAGAAAUCAACCGAGAUUCCCUUAGUAGUGGCGAGCGAACGGGGAUUAGCCCUUAAGCUUCAUUGAUUUUAGCGGAACGCUCUGGAAAGUGCGGCCAUAGUGGGUGAUAGCCCCGUACGCGAAAGGAUCUUUGAAGUGAAAUCGAGUAGGACGGAGCACGAGAAACUUUGUCUGAACAUGGGGGGACCAUCCUCCAAGGCUAAAUACUACUGACUGACCGAUAGUGAACCAGUACCGUGAGGGAAAGGCGAAAAGAACCCCGGAGAGGGGAGUGAAAUAGAACCUGAAACCGUAUGCGUACAAGCAGUGGGAGCCUACUUGUUAGGUGACUGCGUACCUUUUGUAUAAUGGGUCAGCGACUUAUAUUCAGUGGCAAGCUUAACCGUAUAGGGUAGGCGUAGCGAAAGCGAGUCUUAAUAGGGCGUUUAGUCGCUGGGUAUAGACCCGAAACCGGGCGAUCUAUCCAUGAGCAGGUUGAAGGUUAGGUAACACUGACUGGAGGACCGAACCCACUCCCGUUGAAAAGGUAGGGGAUGACUUGUGGAUCGGAGUGAAAGGCUAAUCAAGCUCGGAGAUAGCUGGUUCUCCUCGAAAGCUAUUUAGGUAGCGCCUCAUGUAUCACUCUGGGGGGUAGAGCACUGUUUCGGCUAGGGGGUCAUCCCGACUUACCAAACCGAUGCAAACUCCGAAUACCCAGAAGUGCCGAGCAUGGGAGACACACGGCGGGUGCUAACGUCCGUCGUGAAAAGGGAAACAACCCAGACCGCCAGCUAAGGUCCCAAAGUUGUGGUUAAGUGGUAAACGAUGUGGGAAGGCUUAGACAGCUAGGAGGUUGGCUUAGAAGCAGCCAUCCUUUAAAGAAAGCGUAAUAGCUCACUAGUCGAGUCGGCCUGCGCGGAAGAUGUAACGGGGCUCAAACCACACACCGAAGCUGCGGGUGUCACGNNNNNNNNNNNNNNNNNNNNNNNNNNNNNNNNNNNNNNNNNNNNNNNNNNNNNNNNNNNNNNNNNNNNNNNNNNNNNNNNNNNNNNNNNNNNNNNNNNNNAAGUGACGCGGUAGAGGAGCGUUCUGUAAGCCUGUGAAGGUGAGUUGAGAAGCUUGCUGGAGGUAUCAGAAGUGCGAAUGCUGACAUGAGUAACGACAAUGGGUGUGAAAAACACCCACGCCGAAAGACCAAGGGUUCCUGCGCAACGUUAAUCGACGCAGGGUUAGUCGGUUCCUAAGGCGAGGCUGAAAAGCGUAGUCGAUGGGAAACAGGUUAAUAUUCCUGUACUUCUGGUUACUGCGAUGGAGGGACGGAGAAGGCUAGGCCAGCUUGGCGUUGGUUGUCCAAGUUUAAGGUGGUAGGCUGAAAUCUUAGGUAAAUCCGGGGUUUCAAGGCCGAGAGCUGAUGACGAGUCGUCUUUUAGAUGACGAAGUGGUUGAUGCCAUGCUUCCAAGAAAAGCUUCUAAGCUUCAGGUAACCAGGAACCGUACCCCAAACCGACACAGGUGGUCGGGUAGAGAAUACCAAGGCGCUUGAGAGAACUCGGGUGAAGGAACUAGGCAAAAUGGCACCGUAACUUCGGGAGAAGGUGCGCCGGCUAGGGUGAAGGAUUUACUCCGUAAGCUCUGGCUGGUCGAAGAUACCAGGCCGCUGCGACUGUUUAUUAAAAACACAGCACUCUGCAAACACGAAAGUGGACGUAUAGGGUGUGACGCCUGCCCGGUGCCGGAAGGUUAAUUGAUGGGGUUAGCGCAAGCGAAGCUCUUGAUCGAAGCCCCGGUAAACGGCGGCCGUAACUAUAACGGUCCUAAGGUAGCGAAAUUCCUUGUCGGGUAAGUUCCGACCUGCACGAAUGGCGUAACGAUGGCGGCGCUGUCUCCACCCGAGACUCAGUGAAAUUGAAAUCGCUGUGAAGAUGCAGUGUAUCCGCGGCUAGACGGAAAGACCCCGUGAACCUUUACUGUAGCUUUGCACUGGACUUUGAGCCUGCUUGUGUAGGAUAGGUGGGAGGCUUUGAAGCGUGGACGCCAGUUCGCGUGGAGCCAUCCUUGAAAUACCACCCUGGCAUGCUUGAGGUUCUAACUCUGGUCCGUGAUCCGGAUCGAGGACAGUGUAUGGUGGGCAGUUUGACUGGGGCGGUCUCCUCCUAAAGAGUAACGGAGGAGUACGAAGGUGCGCUCAGACCGGUCGGAAAUCGGUCGCAGAGUAUAAAGGCAAAAGCGCGCUUGACUGCGAGACAGACACGUCGAGCAGGUACGAAAGUAGGUCUUAGUGAUCCGGUGGUUCUGUAUGGAAGGGCCAUCGCUCAACGGAUAAAAGGUACUCCGGGGAUAACAGGCUGAUACCGCCCAAGAGUUCAUAUCGACGGCGGUGUUUGGCACCUCGAUGUCGGCUCAUCACAUCCUGGGGCUGAAGCCGGUCCCAAGGGUAUGGCUGUUCGCCAUUUAAAGUGGUACGCGAGCUGGGUUUAGAACGUCGUGAGACAGUUCGGUCCCUAUCUGCCGUGGACGUUUGAGAUUUGAGAGGGGCUGCUCCUAGUACGAGAGGACCGGAGUGGACGAACCUCUGGUGUUCCGGUUGUCACGCCAGUGGCAUUGCCGGGUAGCUAUGUUCGGAAAAGAUAACCGCUGAAAGCAUCUAAGCGGGAAACUUGCCUCAAGAUGAGAUCUCACUGGGAACUUGAUUCCCCUGAAGGGCCGUCGAAGACUACGACGUUGAUAGGCUGGGUGUGUAAGCGUUGUGAGGCGUUGAGCUAACCAGUACUAAUUGCCCGUGAGGCUUGACCAU
rnacentral:rRNA from 1 species